rnacentral:rRNA from 1 species
UACGUAGGGGGUAAGCGUUGUCCGGAAUCAUUGGGCGUAAAGCGCACGUAGGCGGCUACCUAAGUCGGAUGUGAAAGCCCCUGGCUCAACUGGGGAAGUGCACCCGAAACUGGAUAGCUUGAGUGCGAAAGAGGGUCGCGGAAUUCCCGGUGUAGAGGUGAAAUUCGUAGAUAUCGGGAGGAACACCGGUGGCGAAGGCGGCGACCUGGGUCGACACUGACGCUGAGGCGCGAAAGCGUGGGGAGCGAACAGG